GUAUCACGCUUCGUCCCGUCUCGAGGCUUAAGUUGGCGUUGGCAACACUGCUCAGGGAUUACGUCAUCGAGUUGGCACCCUGCGUCAAGGACCCUUUGCCCGUCGGUGUACAAACUGUGACGCUGUGUCCUACCGAAGGAGCAUGGCUGAGGGCGAGAAGAAGAACGCAGAAGGAAUAGAUCAUGUAAAAAUACUAUGUAGACAAUGAAGAUAUCAUCUGUGAACUAAACGAUAUAAGUAGAUGUACAAUACAUAUAUUUCUAAAAGUCACCCUCUAAA